GGGAUAUGAGGGAAAGGUCGCCCCUGUGCUAAUAUUCCUACAAGAUAUCUGCAGCGCCCCUGGACUUCGUACUGCAUGAAGAGGGGAGUUUCCAAGAAUAAAAAUAAAGCUGCUCAAAACUAGGUUUUAUAUGUAUUGUUUAUACUCUAACGUACAUUCUAAUCAAUUGAGAUGUGACUUUUGAUGGCGAUGUUCGCCAAUGUUUUUGUCUCUUUGUUCUUGUGAUAUUGUGUGAAGGCUCAAUAUGUUGAACAUGCUGAUCUGAAUAAAUCCUGAGUUCUUUAUUUGAUGGUCAAAAUGAGUACAAAGGAUAGAGAGAAAUGUUCUGACAAACCAUCGCAGAAUAUCACUAGGCACAUGUAUUCGCUGGUCGCGAAACAGUCUCAAACUCUGAUUUUCAAACCCCUAUAUCUCUGCAAGCCAAUGUCAUUAGAUUCUAAAAUUUAACAGUUGGAAAUAUCAAAUUUUACACAA